ensembl:lncRNA
GAGGGAUUGGGGGCAGGAGGAGAAGGGGACGACAGAGGAUGAGAUGGCUGGAUGGCAUCACCGACUCGAUGGAUAGUCUGGCCAAGUCCUACCUGCCCCUCGAGAUUCUGUUGGAACGUCUCUCCGAGAAGCCCCCUUCUGGCUCCCUGCUUUGUCAACUGUGAACCACACGUUCACUGCAUUGCCCUGCAAUGAUGGGUUCACAGACGAGUCUCGCGAAUCUGUGGAUUCCCCAAGGUUUCUUGGCUGCGAGGCAUAUGGGAUCUUCAAUCCCUGACCAGGGAUUGAACCCGCACCCCCUGCAUUGGGAGGCGAAGUCUUAACCACUGGGCCCCCUGGAAAGUCCCCUAGAACCAUGGUCUUUGUUGUGUCUGUUUCCCAGACACCCAGCACAGCACUGGGUCUGUGGUAAUGACUGUGAAAAUGAAUGAAUGACUGUGAAGACAGCUCCACAAGCCAGAGAGGAUCUUUAUACAGCACGGGGCUGGACCAGAUGAUUCUAUCUCUUGUCUACACUGCGGUUCCAACAUCACAUAACCCUGCCGGGUCAGCGCCCCUCUGCUUUGUCACCCAUGGGCUGUUAACUGUUGCC